rnacentral:lncRNA from 1 species
AGUCAAUUCUUCACAACCAUUUCUCCAACCCAUACUUUUGUUAUUACAAUAAACGACGCCGUAUUCAUAUCAUCAGUGUCAUCUUCUCUUUCAACAAUAAAAUUGAGAGAGGUUUAUGAGAAUGAAUGAGAUUGGUAAUUAUUGGAUUGGAAGGAAGGAAGGAAGGAAGGUGUUUCUCAAAACGGUACUGCUACUAUGUUCUGGUCAACUUGUCUGCUGAACAUUACAUUAUUAGUAG